rnacentral:misc_RNA from 1 species
UUUCCGUAGGUGAACCUGCGGAAGGAUCAUUAUUGUAUAACCGAGGUGCGAGGGCUGUCGCUGACCCGAAAGGUCGUGCACGCCCGAGUGCCCUCACACACAUCCACCUCACCCUUAUGUGCACCACCGCGUGGGUCCCCCUUUGGCUUGUUCGGAGGGGGGCUUACGUUUUCACACAAACUUUGUAAGCAGUGUAGAAUGUAUUUUUUGUUUUUGCGAUCACGCAAUCAAUACAACUUUCAACAACGGAUCUCUUGGCUCUC